UCGUAGGGAGCCUGGCCAGGCCUCCCCUCGGCGUAGCACAGGAGGGGAAGGGCUCGGAGCCGGAGUGUCUCCGCGCAGGGGAAUGGAGGAGUUUUAGUGUGGGGAAGGGCUUUCUUUUAAGCGGACUUUGCGGGGUGGAGAAGCCCUUAGGCUGUUGGGAGGGAUCUUAUUUGUGGGGAAAAAGCUCCCCGUUUUGAGGGGGGGCUUCUCGUUUUGGGACGGGGAGGCUCCCUCUUGUGUUGGAGGGGACAAGUUCAUCCUUCUGCAGUGGGGAAUUGCUGCCCAGAUGCAGGCAAUCCACCCCAUAAUCCUUUUUGCUUGGCUGUGGAGUUUGGUACCCAAUAGUCAAAGAAUCGGAGGCACCUUAAAUAUGCCACCAUGGAGAGACAGCUGCUUUCAAAGAGACACGCCUGAGGCAUUUGUUGAUUUGAUUUUUUUAAUAGUCUGGGAUCCAUGGAAGGUGCAGAAGCUUCUGAUACAUCGGCAG